rnacentral:misc_RNA from 1 species
GAUGAAGAACGUAGCGAAAUGCGAUAAGUAAUGUGAAUUGCAGAAUUCAGUGAAUCAUCGAAUCUUUGAACGCACAUUGCGCCCCCUGGCAUUCCGGGGGGCGUGCCUGUUCGAGCGUCAUUUCACCACUCAAGCCUCGCUUGGUAUUGGGCAACGCGGUCCGCCGCGUGCCUCAAAUCGACCGGCUGGGUCUUCUGUCCCCUAAGCGUUGUGGAAACUAUUCGCUAAAGGGUGUUCGGGAGGCUACGCCGUAAAACAACCCCAUUUCUAAGGUUGACCUCGGAUCAGGUAGGGAUACCCGCUGAACUUAAGCAUAUCAAUAAGCGGAGGA